rnacentral:rRNA from 1 species
GUGUGUAAUUUUCUAUCAGAGUGAAGAAGCUUUGGUAAAAAGGGGGACAAGAAGACCCUAUUGAGCUUUACUUUAGGUUUUUAGUAGUAUUAACUAAAAUUUAAAAGUUGAACUGGGGCGGUUAAGGAAGAAGAAAUCUUCCUUUAUUUUUGUUUGUUAAAUUUUUUGAUCCAAGGUUUUUGAUAAAAAGACUAAGUUACCAUAGGGAUAACAGCGUAAUUUUUUUGGAGAGUUCUUAUUGAUAAAAAAGUUUGCGACCUCGAUGUUGACUUUUAAUAGCUUUUUGGCGCAGAAGCCAAGAUGGUGGGUCUGUUCGACCUUUAAAAUUAA